CCUCUCGUAGCUCAGCUGGAUAGAGUACCUGACGCUCGCUACACCAGGCGGUCAGAGGUUCGAAUCCUCUCGAGCGCGCCA
rnacentral:tRNA from 1 species